AUUGAACGCUGGCGGCAGGCUUAACACAUGCAAGUCGAGCGGGGGAAGUUGCUUCGGUAACUGACCUAGCGGCGGACGGGUGAGUAAUGCAUCGGAACGUGCCCAGUCGUGGGGGAUAACGCAGCGAAAGCUGUGCUAAUACCGCAUACGAUCUAUGGAUGAAAGCGGGGGACCGUAAGGCCUCGCGCGAUUGGAGCGGCCGAUGUCAGAUUAGCUAGUUGGUGGGGUAAAGGCCCACCAAGGCGACGAUCUGUAGCUGGUCUGAGAGGACGACCAGCCACACUGGGACUGAGACACGGCCCAGACUCCUACGGGAGGCAGCAGUGGGGAAUUUUGGACAAUGGGCGCAAGCCUGAUCCAGCAAUGCCGCGUGCAGGAAGAAGGCCUUCGGGUUGUAAACUGCUUUUGUACGGAACGAAACGGUCUGGGUUAAUACCUCGGGCUAAUGACGGUACCGUAAGAAUAAGCACCGGCUAACUACGUGCCAGCAGCCGCAGUAACAC
rnacentral:rRNA from 1 species